ensembl:lncRNA
GCCAGCCUGAGCCCCUCUACAGCCAGCCUGACCCCCUCUACAGCCAGCCUGACCCCCUCUACAGCCAACCUGACCCCCUCUACAGCCAACCAGACCGCCCAGACUACAUCGUCAGGGUUGACAGCCCUCAGCCAAUCACAGGGCAGGGAGACCACUGCGACCACGGAAACCACAACAUCAUUAGCAGUUUCAGCUACAAGAGGAAGUGACAUUGCAGGCUAUGUAAUCCUGUUUCUCAUAUUGUUGGCUGUUGUGUGUCUGGUGGUGAUUCUCUAUAUCCUGAGGAAGAAGUCCAGGAGGUACUCGUUUGAUCUGCAGUAUCCAGGUUAUGACCACGACACCCCCCUCACCUGCAUGGAACAACCCGGAACCUUCGAACCCAACAACGAUCAGGAGAUCUGGGAGUCUGAGAGAGAGGGUGGUGAUGAGGAUCCCCAUGCUAUGAGCCCUGUAGCUAACGGCUCAGCUAUGGGGGCUGGAGAGACUGGCUCUACAGGGGAGAACGAAGGAGAGAAGCAGGCUCAUGGUGAUAGUGACGGAGACAGCUUCAACAACUUCUGUGCCAGUGAUGUCACUCCGCCCAUAAAAAGGGUUGGCUUUAGCCUGGACCUCGACCUGAGUGACAAGGUGUUACUCGGCUCCAGCCCUGACCUUUGACCCUUGAGUGACAGGGUGUUACUCGGCUCCGGCCCUGACCUUCGACCCUGUAUGUCCAGAUAACGUCUUCACUGAGAUCAAGAUGUACAUAGCACCUUUUAUUUGAUCUAUAAAAUGUCAGAAUGUACACGGCUCCAGAUCAGUGUUUACUUUCUGAUACUGUAAUUCAUUUUAAUAAUGUUUUGAGCGUGACCAAGAGAGCGAUGUCACGUGGUUUUAGAAUGAAAAAAAUGUACUUCACAGAGGACUUGACGUGG